rnacentral:rRNA from 1 species
CCUCUCGUCGGGUUUCGGCUCGGUGGGGGAUAAAGGUCGGCGCGCUCCGUUUGGUGACUCUGGAUAACUCACUGGUCGAUCGCACGGGCUUCCACGCCCGGCGACGGUCCCCCGAGGUCCGCCCUAUCAACUGUC